rnacentral:rRNA from 1 species
AUUGAACGCUGGCGGAAUGCUUUACACAUGCAAGUCGAGCGGCAGCGCGGGGGCAACCCUGGCGGCGAGCGGCGAACGGGUGAGUAAUGUAUCGGAACGUACCCUGUCGUGGGGGAUAACACAGCGAAAGCUGUGCUAAUACCCCAUACGACCUGAGGGUGAAAGCGGGGGAUCGCAAGACCUCGCGCGAUAGGAGCGGCCGAUAUCGGAUUAGCUUGUUGGUGAGGUAAAGGCUCACCAAGGCGACGAUCCGUAGCUGGUCUGAGAGGACGACCAGCCACACUGGAACUGAGACACGGUCCAGACUCCUACGGGAGGCAGCAGUGGGGAAUUUUGGACAAUGGGGGCAACCCUGAUCCAGCCAUUCCGCGUGAGUGAAGAAGGCCUUCGGGUUGUAAAGCUCUUUCAGCAGGAACGAAACGGUGGUCUCUAAUACGGACUACUAAUGACGGUACCUGAAGAAGAAGCACCGGCUAACUACGUGCCAGCAGUCGCGGUAAUACGUAGGGUGCGAGCGUUAAUCGGAAUUACUGGGCGUAAAGCGUGCGCAGGCGGUUAUGUAAGACAGGUGUGAAAUCCCCGGGCUUAACCUGGGAACUGCGCUUGUGACUGCAUAACUCGAGUGUGGCAGAGGGGGGUGGAAUUCCACGUGUAGCAGUGAAACGCGUAGAGAUGUGGAGGAACACCGAUGGCGAAGGCAGCCCCCUGGGAUAACACUGACGCUCAUGUACGAAAGCGUGGGUAGCAAACAGGAUUAGAUACCCUGGUAGUCCACGCCCUAAACGAUGUCAACUGGUUGUUGGGGAGUGAAAUCCCUUAGUAACGAAGCUAACGCGUGAAGUUGACCGCCUGGGGAGUACGGUCGCAAGAUUAAAACUCAAAGGAAUUGACGGGGACCCGCACAAGCGGUGGAUGAUGUGGAUUAAUUCGAUGCAACGCGAAAAACCUUACCUACCCUUGACAUGUCCAGAAUCCUGCAGAGAUGCGGGAGUGCCCGAAAGGGAAUUGGAACACAGGUGCUGCAUGGCUGUCGUCAGCUCGUGUCGUGAGAUGUUGGGUUAAGUCCCGCAACGAGCGCAACCCUUAUCAUUAGUUGCUACGCAAGGGCACUCUAAUGAGACUGCCGGUGACAAACCGGAGGAAGGUGGGGAUGACGUCAAGUCCUCAUGGCCCUUAUGGGUAGGGCUUCACACGUCAUACAAUGGUCGGUACAGAGGGUUGCCAAGCCGCGAGGUGGAGCCAAUCCCAGAAAGCCGAUCGUAGUCCGGAUUGUUCUCUGCAACUCGAGAGCAUGAAGUCGGAAUCGCUAGUAAUCGCGGAUCAGCAUGUCGCGGUGAAUACGUUCCCGGGUCU